UACGUAGGCAGCGAGCGUUGUUCGGAAUUACUGGGCGUAAAGAGUGUGUAGGCGGCGCUCUAAGUUCGGUGUGAAAUCUCUCGGCUUAACUGGGAGGGUGCGCCGGAAACUGGAGUGCUCGAACGUGGGAGAGGAAAGCGGAAUUCCUGGUGUAGCGGUGAAAUGCGUAGAUAUCGUGAGGAAGACCAGUGGCGAAGGCGGAUCUCUGGACAGUUCCUGACGCUGAGGCGCGAAGGCCAGGGGAGCAAACGGG
rnacentral:rRNA from 1 species